CCUUAGCAGGACCCUGCCUCAAACUAAAACACAAAACAAGGCUUGGGAUAUAUCUCAGUGGGGAGGCCCUGCAUCUGCUCUAUUUUUGGAUCACCUGCCCUCUUCAAAGCCCAUGCUGUGUACCAUACAGGUCACUGCCCACAGCCCUCUGUCCUCCUCCCAGGAGCCUUGACUGUCCCCCCAGAUAUCUUCCCCACAUGCAUGCCACUUCUCGCCUCCCCCCCGCCUGGCAGCUUGGGAAGCCAAGGCCGGGUCCAGCUCUGCUUCCUUUGGGACCCACAGCGCCAUGUCGGGUCCCCAGCGUGAUGAGACGAACCCCUGAGGAGUGCAAACUGCCCUCGGGGCCCUCCCGGGGGCCCAGGCACUGGCUGGCAGAGAAGCCAAUGCAGAGCCGAGAGCCAGCCUCCUCCCUGCCAGGCCUCUGCCGCGGGGUCUGGGCCAGGACUGCCAAGGCCGCCACACCUCGCUCAGUUCCGCAGUGCCGGUGCUCCUGCAGCCGGAUCCUCACACACCACCGGACUCGCCCUCCGGAUUCCUCGGGGCUCCCGGGCCCAGGCUGCCCCCGCCCGCCAGCCGGGCACUUUCCAGAUCUUCAGUCCCGAACACCACCCCUCGCAGCUCGGCCGUCCUCCUGCCCGGCCCCAGCUCACACUGCACUCGGUGCCAAGCUCCGACCUUUCUCGAGGGCUCGGGAGACAGCGAAGACCCCGGGUCCCACGCCCAGAGCUGGCACAGCCGUGAGGCCCAGUCCGAUCACCGCAGGCUACCACGAAGCUCCCCAGGAGUCCCACCGGGGUUAGACCGCAGCGUGAGGGUCCCCAGGCCUGCCUGAUCUCCUCCUCCCAGUGGGCCCAGGUCGGGGACCGGGUGGGGCUGCGGACUCUCUCGCAGGGUCCUUGUCCCCACCCCAGGUGCUGUCCCGUGGAUACGGAGGUGUUGAGCGAGUUUCCCGAUUGUUCUGCCUCAGUUUCCCUGCACGGAGCCAAACACAUUACAAAGAGCUAGCAACGAUGCCCAGCUGCACCCCUCACCCUGAGGCCCACAGUUAGUUGUGGUAUCAAAGUGGCCAGAUGUACUCCUUCAGUUACGGUGCCCUGGCUCACCAGGACGGGUCAGACGGGUCAGCAGCCAGUGAGGGAGCCACGGCCAGGGUUUGCCUUGUGGCAGAGGGGGGCGUGGGGGAGAUGGCUUGGGACCCAGGUAACGUCCACAGGGCCAGCCUGCUCAGCAGCUGACAGGGAGGGAUCCGGCGACUGCGGCGUGGAACCAGGUUGCGGUGCCCGAAUCUCCUCCUCGCCUCACCUGUCCAGGAGGGUCACGGGGACAGGAGUCCUGACCCCUCCUGCAGGGACUCCUAUACCCCCUCCUCCCAGGCCCUCCUCCCCGACACGGCCCCUCCUCACUUCCUGCGGGCCCUCCCCACCUCCACCUGGGUCAACAACCCCCGCCUCACUCGAGGCUCCCAAGCAAGGACAGCCGCUGUAACUUUCCACUCCUUGAGUGGCUCUGGCAGGCUGGAGCCUGGGGACGCAAGCACCGGGCACUGCUCUGGGCUCUGCCUCAGCACCAGGCACCUGCCGUGUCCAUCGGGGACACUGCCCACAGGCCCACCUGGAACCCCCGAGCCCUCGUCCCUCCCGACGGGCCCCGGACUCCGCACAGACAGGCCGGCUGGACUGCUCUGGAAUGGGAUCGGGGCCGCCCUGCUGGCCUUGGGGAGGGGCACACAGGUGCUCCCCUGCUGUGCCAGCUCUGGGCUUCUGCCCCGCAAUCGCCACCUUCCGGUGCCCGUGGCUACCCACACCCAGCACCACCAGGCAUGGAUGCACAGACUUUCAGGCCUUGGGGCAGCUCCUCUUCUGCAGCUGCCAGGUGUCCCACAGGACACCCCCGCCACCCUUCUGAGUCCUCAGCACGGGACCUGGGGGCAGACGCUCCAGGGCGCCUGCCCGGCUAGCUCCGGCCCUGUCCCGCGGCUGGUGCUGUCCCGCGGCGGCCUAUCGCCCUGACAUCUCCAAGUUUCCAGUUCCUCCCCACCGCGUCGGCAGGCAGGAGCAGAAGGAGUUCAGAGGCUGUGCCAGCUUGGCCAUCUGCGGGCAGGCAGGGGCUUUGGGAUCCACCCCAUCCCCAGACACCACGGUAGGAGCCAGAGCAGCCACCCCAGGAGGCGCCCCGGCAUCUGGCUCUGGACCUGGUUACUCCCAGGAGCUGCAGGCGCCGGAGUGGCUGUACAAGCUGCGCAAAGGAAGUGGUCAUCGCUGAAGGUGCCCCCCGCCCCAGGCCAGCUGCCCCCAGCUGCUCUCCUCGCCUGCGCCCUCCUCCCGGUGCUUCCCGCCGGGCAUCAGCGUGCUUGGCAAACGCGUCCCCUCUGCAGCCAGCGCUCUGGUUUUGCAGGUGACAAACCCCAGAGUCUGCCCGGCACAAGCUGCAGACCCAGGACAGCCUGAGGUGCGGUUCCGAGGCCUGGGAGCCAGCGAUGUGGAUUCGACACACAGCUGAGGGACGGAGGGCCAGGCGCAUUGUGGCUGGGAGAAGGUCGGGACCGGGGAGAGCAGAGGGGCAGAGGCCCACUCACCGCCUACCGCCUCCGCCCCGCUCCGACCCUCAGCCUGGACGCUGCUCGCUCGCACCGGGAGGGCUGUGCACACGCAGACCCCCUGUCACACGCUGUCCUUGCCAGAAACAGCCUGCAGGCACAUCCAGGAGUAGGAGCACCCCACAACCAGCCAGCGGGGUGUGUGCGAAGUGAGCCACCCCAGGUCCACCCCACACUGGUCUCCUUAAGCCACGUUAAUCUCCAAAUGAAGACAAUGACGAGGCUGAAAUUCCGCCAAACCUCACACACCUCUUUUGUACGCAGCCGAGAAGAACCAUUGCUUCCCGCGGAAUGAAGACUUCUAGGCCAGCAGAGCGUAAAGCCAAGAGAACGGGAAGCGGAAAUUUCGUCAGUGGGUCACCGCGAGCGAUGGCGAGUCGUAGCGCUCACAUCUCCGCCCCUUGAUUCCCAGACCCCGAAUUCUGGCUUUGGGAGCAACAGCGCCGUGUGUUGGACCCUGGUUCAGAGCACACACAGCCCUCAGGAGCACACGGCCCAGCCUUGCAGGGAGUCACCACCUCACCGGGCACUGGAAAGGCCAUUCCACUGCGGUGCCGAGCCCACGGCUGCAGGGUGGGGGGAGCCUGGCAGACCCAGAACUGCGGGCGGGGAAGGCGUAUUUGUACCCAAACUAUUCCUGCAUGAACAAAGCACUACCCUCUCCCUGAGGCCCCAGUCCAGGGUAAUCAGCCCGCCACUGGGUCGCUGGCAGAUGAUGCCAGGAAGCAGUGCCACCUCCGGGACCCAGUCUUGUCCCUGCUACUGGCUGGUUGAGAAUUUGACGGUGGCCGCGGGCAGGGUGGCCUUGGUGGUUGGAAGUCCAUGUUGCUGAGCUCACGGGAGCUGCCAUCCCUGCCACCAGGGCCCCAUUCCUGAGCCCACCGGGAGGUGAGGAGAGCUCCAGAGAGAAGAGGCCAGCUGGCGGCCGCAGAGCGGGUCAUUUAGUUAUUGAAGUCCUCUCGUGGUGAGGUCCCCGCUGGUGGACAUUCACACGGGACCCCAGCAGCUCCACAGCUCGUGCAUGUGCUGGUUCCCCACACUUCCUGGUCACCGGUUUUCCAAUCAAGUCGUUCACCACCCGGCCACGCCUGGCCAGGGCUCCUGGGCCGGUGUAGAGGCGCAUCUCUGCCCACCUCUAAGAGGACGCCUGGCCAGGACUGUCAGGUCACAGCCUCACUUCCGGGCGGUGCAGGCGUGAUCGGGGGAACCAGCCCGCCCAGGCUGCGUCUCCGCUUCUCUCCCUGCUUUGGCCUGUGGUGGGGCCUCUCUCUAAGGCCACAGGAAGUGCAGGACAGGAGGAGGCCACCACGACACGGAAGCAGAGGAACUAUUGGAGAAUAAACCCAGAAAGCCGAGUCACGGCAAGAAUGAAGUUGCACU